GACGUAGGAUGCGAGCGUUAUUCGGAUUUACUGGGCGUAAAGCGCGUGUAGGCUGCUUCGCAAGUCGGAUGUGAAAGCCCUGGGCUCAACCCAGGAAGUGCAUUCGAAACUGCAGAGCUGGAGUCCUGGAGAGGAAGGCGGAAUUCUCGGUGUAGAGGUGAAAUUCGUAGAUAUCGAGAGGAACACCGGUGGCGAAGGCGGCCUUCUGGACAGUGACUGACGCUGAGACGCGAAAGCGUGGGAAGCAAACAGG
rnacentral:rRNA from 1 species